AUUGAACGCUGGCGGCAUGCCUUACACAUGCAAGUCGAACGGUAACAGGUCUUCGGAUGCUGACGAGUGGCGAACGGGUGAGUAAUACAUCGGAACGUGCCCGAGAGUGGGGGAUAACGAGGCGAAAGCUUUGCUAAUACCGCAUACGAUCUCAGGAUGAAAGCAGGGGACCGCAAGGCCUUGCGCUCACGGAGCGGCCGAUGGCAGAUUAGGUAGUUGGUGGGAUAAAAGCUUACCAAGCCGAUGAUCUGUAGCUGGUCUGAGAGGACGACCAGCCACACUGGGACUGAGACACGGCCCAGACUCCUACGGGAGGCAGCAGUGGUGAAUUUUGGACAAUGGGCGCAAGCCUGAUCCAGCCAUGCCGCGUGCAGGAUGAAGGCCUUCGGGUUGUAAACUGCUUUUGUACGGAACGAAAAGACUCUGGUUAAUACCUGGGGUCCAUGACGGUACCGUAAGAAUAAGCACCGGCUAACUACGUGCCAGCCGCCGCAGUAACAC
rnacentral:rRNA from 1 species